UGGGGAAUAUUGCACAAUGGGCGAAAGCCUGAUGCAGCGACGCCGCGUGAGGGAUGACGGCCUUCGGGUUGUAAACUUCUUUCAGCAGGGACGAAGCGCAAGUGACGGUACCUGCAGAAGAAGCACCGGCUAACUACGUGCCAGCAUCCGCGGUAAUACGUGGGGUGCAAGCGUUGUCCGGAAUUACUGGGCGUAAAGAGUUCGUAGGCGGCUUGUCACGACGUUUGUGAAAACCAGCAGCUCAACUGCUGGCUUGCAGGGGAUACGGGCAGACUUGAGUACUGCAGGGGAGACUGGAAUUCCUGGUGUAGCGGUGAAGUGCGCAGAUAUCAGGAGGAACACCGGUGGCGGUGGCAAGUCUCUGGGCAGUAACUGACGCUGAGGAACGAAGGCGUGGGUAGCGAACAGG
rnacentral:rRNA from 1 species